UACAGAGGUCUCAAGCGUUGUUCGGAUUCAUUGGGCGUAAAGGGUGCGUAGGCGGCGCGGUAAGUCGGGUGUGAAAUCUUGGAGCUUAACUCCGAAACUGCAUUCGAUACUGGCGUGCUUGAGGACUGGAGAGGAGACUGGAAUUUACGGUGUAGCAGUGAAAUGCGUAGAUAUCGUAAGGAAGACCAGUGGCGAAGGCGGGUCUCUGGACAGUUCCUGACGCUGAGGCACGAAGCCAGGGGAGCAAACGGG
rnacentral:rRNA from 1 species